AGCGAACGCUGGCGGCAGGCCUAACACAUGCAAGUCGAACGAAGUCUUCGGACUUAGUGGCGGACGGGUGAGUAACACGUGGGAACGUGCCUUUAGGUUCGGAAUAACUCAGGGAAACUUGUGCUAAUACCGAAUGUGCCCUUCGGGGGAGAGAUUUAUCGCCUUUAGAGCGGCCCGCGUCUGAUUAGCUAGUUGGUGAGGUAAAGGCUCACCAAGGCUACGAUCAGUAGCUGGUCUGAGAGGAUGACCAGCCACAUUGGGACUGAGACACGGCCCAAACUCCUACGGGAGGCAGCAGUGGGGAAUCUUGCGCAAUGGGCGAAAGCCUGACGCAGCCAUGCCGCGUGGAUGAUGAAGGUCUUAGGAUUGUAAAAUCCUUUCACCGGUGAAGAUAAUGACUGUAGCCGGAGAAGAAGCCCCGGCUAGCUUCGUGCCAGCAGCCGCCGUAAGAC
rnacentral:rRNA from 1 species